AGCAACAAAGUGCUGAGAUUUUGCAAGUAGAAGCUCUCUCCAAAUUUACACAAACACAUUUUUCAUCUACUUCAUCUUUAAAACCUCCGUCCCGCUCGGUAUAUUCGUAUAUUCUCGAGGUUUUAAACACCGAGGCUUUGCUUCACCCAACCAAGCCCCGUACCACUUUGCUUGCACCCAAACCACUCUUUCCGACCUCCCGAAGGGCUGUCCGAAGUUCGUCCAUAAGCCAAAUUCCUACCGAACCUCCGGCGAAUUUUUCCGGCGAACUUUUUACGAAAAUCGUGUAAGUGGUUUCUUUAGCUUCGUCUUAUCCGAGUCUUAACCGACCGAAUUUAAAAGAGCUAUCAAGCCAAAAUUCUCUUCAUCUCAAAGCUCUCUUUUUCUUUAACAAUACAAAGCACAAGAGUUGGCCGCUCGUAUUAUCUAUAAUAUACCUACGUGUGCGUGUGUGUGUUAUACCCUAUCUUGUUGACGUGAAGAUUCUCAUACGUGCUGAGCUUUCGUGAGAAUAUUUGCUUAAACGAGUUUGGUGGUGGUCCUCACCUUAGUGAGUUGAUUUAUACGUAUAUUUAUAUAUAUCACCAACACUUUGUUCACACACCACAAAAUACCCGUAGCUUGUCCCACGCGAGAUUCGCUCGGUAUUUCUAAAAUCAACUAUAUACACAUAUUAUAGCGCGGAUAUUAUCGCGGAUUAUUGUGGCCCAAAACUCUAUAUCAUAGUGCAAUUGUUAAAGAUAGUCAAGAACUCACUCUCUCGUGCAAAACGAUAUUUAUAUUUAAAGAGGGGUUAUCUUGAAACGAAGUUGUAAAAUAAAACACUUCGUAAUAUUCACUUCGAAGGUUAUCAUACCCGAAGUAUUUCAUAUACUUAGUCAAAGACAAGUAUAUUCGUCCAUAUAGCCAAAAGAGCUUAAAAGGACUUAUUUUAUCUACAAACUCCAAGACACUCAAAUAUCAUUUAUUUGGAGGAUUUUGUACGAUAAACGUAUUCUUCGAUUAUAAAUACAAAUCUAUCGAAAAAGAAUACUUGCAAGGUCUUAAGCUUUAUAAAAGCUUAAAGGACACUUGAUCUUUAAUAUUCUAAGACCAAGAAUAUUAUUGAAACACUCGGACUAGUGAAUCUUGUCCAAAACUCUUUUUAUAACCAAGGUUGUCUUUCGUAGAUAUUGUUUUCUAGAUUUUGCAGUGAGGUGAAGUGAAGUGAGGUGAUCUUCGUUCUAAGACCCAAGUCCUAGACGAGCUAACGGGGAGUUAGUCGUCUUCGCACCGUGAGGAAGAGGAAAGACCCAAGACCUAAGACCUAAGAUCCAAGACCCGCUUAAGGCUAGAAGAACAAAGACUACACAUUGAGAGAUACAACGAUUUUGAGGAGGUGACGGGGAGUUACGCUCCAAGACAAGUCUUGUAAUUUACAUUUAUAGUGAGGAGGUAACGGGAAGUUACGCUCCAAGAUAUAUAUUUGUAAAGGCUUCUCCGCCUACUGUAAAGGAGUUUCUUUAUAGUAGAGAAAAUCUCGAGUCCGGGGAGGAGCUCGGGGACUGGAGUAGGGGUGAGUGGACUCCAAGGGUUGAGUUAGCCACCGCGAACCAGGAUAAAAUCGCUCGUGUGGUAUUUGUCUUUCUUUUCAUUUACUUCCGCACAUCAUAACUGCUAAAACUCUCGAUACAAGCUUUUAAAAAGGGGAUAAACUUUUUAAAACUACACUAUUAUUUUUAAAUUGGCUAUUAAGCUAUUCAACCCCCCCUUCUAGCUUAAUUAUCCCCUAUAUCGGGACCUAACAUAUUCAUUAAAAUUCUGAGCCUGUCUUAGAGCAACAGUCAUGGGUUUCCAAUCUCUAGGUAAAGCUCUCAAGAAUUUGAGAUUUGAAUCCUUGACCAUGUAGAUUCUACCAUACAACUUUAAUCCAUUUAACAGUUUUUGAAAUCUGUUAAACAAAUCAUUUAGAGAUUCACCAGAUUUAGAGUGAAAGCUCUCAUACUGUUGAACAAACAGCUGCAUUUUGUUUUCCCUAACUUGAUCAGUGCCUUCACAUAAGGUUUGAAUGGUAUCCCAUACUUCCUUUGCAGUUGGACAGUUGAUAACACUAUCAAACAUGUCAUCAUCAAUACCAUUGAACAGAAUGUUCAUAGCCUUGUUAUCCUUGUGCACUUCUUUCUCAUCUUCCUCAGUGAACUCAGAAGGAUUUUUAGGCACUUCAACAUCUUCAGCUUCACUUCCAGCAAGUCUCAGGGCAGUGUUGAUCUUAACUGGAACAUGUGGUCCUUUCUCAAUACAGUUAAUGUAGCUAGGAUCCAAGGAGAGUAGAUGCAUCCUCAUUUUCACUUUCCAAUGAAAGUAGUGUUCUUUGACCAGCAUUGGAAUCUUGACUCCUUCAUCUCUUCUUCCUAUUGUUGAUUGUCUUUAGGAUCUAAAACUUCUUGUAUGUUAGAAACCUCGCUCUGAUACCAAUUGUUAUUCAGACAAUUCAAACAAUAAGUUAGAUUGUAGAAGGGGGGGUUGAAUACAAUCUACAAAAAAUUCAAUAUCUUUUUGCAGAGCAGAUCAUAUUCAAAAUACAAGAGAAUAUAAAAGCUAAAAGAGAAAUUUAAAGAACAAGGAUCUUAAAAAUUUCAGGUGGAUUGUUUGAUCCACCUGAGAGAUUUUUAUAUCAAGAACCUUCCAAGUAAAAAUACUUGGCUGCUUACAAAAGAAUGAAGAGCAGAAGCUUACAAUUUCUUGCUAACUUUCUCUAAUGCUUUGCUCUUCAGUUCUUGGUGUUUGAAUACUUUGAAAUGUGAAAUUACAAAGUGAAUAUAUACUACUACAAACAAAACUAGUCUGUAAAAGUAUUUUCCUACUCACUUUCUAGCUAGUACAAAUAUAGAAUUUCUUGGACUUGAUACUGCAUUUGGCAGCUUGAAAUUCUUGUUGCUUUGCCAGAAAUGGUAGGCUUCGAGGUUCUCAAUAUUUGACUAAACUCCUUUUGGUUUAGCUUCCAAAGCUGGUGCAGCAUCUGUCACAUCAACCCAUGUGAACUUUGUCUUUUCCCUGACUUGUAGCUGUCAAUUGCUGAUAAUCAAUUGCUAAUAUCAUCAAUUGAUGAUACACUGAAAUAGCAGUUGAUAGUCUUCUUUGAGUUAUGGGAUAAUGAUGAUGUUGAUGUAGCGGUUGAUAAUCUUCUUUCCAAAUAGCCAUUGAUACUUUAAAUUACCGAUCGAUCUUCACUUCACUUGAAUAGAUUACAUGACUUCUCAUAUUUACAAUUAUGUCACCCUAUCUAAACAUCCAUUGAUAGAUCAACUGCUAAUCUAAAAGUACACAUUAUUUUUACAUCAACUGCUAAAAUGCUCUAGCUUUGUUACAAUACCUCAUCAACCGUUGAUAGGUCAAUCUGAUCAAUUGAUACUUGGCGCCGCUGCCGGGGACUAAAAUUAAUUUUCGCAACUUAAUUUUUAAUUUUUCGGAUUAGUUUUUUUUUAUAUUCUCUCACUUCUCGAUCUUCACUUCACUUGGAUAGAUUACAUGACUUCUCAUAUUUACAAUUAUGUCACCCUAUCUAAACAUCCAUUGAUAGAUCAACUGCUAAUCUAAAAGUACACAUUAUUUUACAUCAACUGCUAAAAUGCUCCAGCUUUGUUACAAUACCUCAUCAGCCGUUGAUGGGUCAAUCUGAUCAAUUGAUACUGUCUUAGCAUGCUACCAAUUGAUCAGCUACAUGCAAUUUUAUUCUAAGUAAGAAUAAAAUACCUUGUAUCAUCAAGCAUCACAUAUUCCUAACACAAGUUUUUGGCGCCGCUGCCGGGGACUAAAAUUAAUUUUCGCGCCUUAAUUUUUUAAUUUUUCGGAUUAGUUUUUUUUCAUAUUCUCUCACUUCUUUUUGGUUAAAUUUUAGAAAUUGGAGGAAUAUGAGCUAACUUGGAAUAAGUGGAGACUAUUCUUGGAGUAUUGGAAACUUUGCUUGGGUAACUUGUAUCUCUCUCCUAUUUCACUUUUUUUUUCUUUAGAAAAUCACAAAAAAAAAAUUAAAUUGAAAAAACACAAACAAAUUGAAAAUUUAAAAUCCAAAAAUAUUAGUUAGAAAUACAUAUGUGUUGCAUCAUGCAUUUAAUCACUUAGGGCACAUCAUUUAGAUUUUACUUUUUGUUUUUAAAUUUUCGUACCUUUAUUUGUGGUGAUCGCUGGAGGACCCAAAGGUACGUUAAUUUCUUUCUUUCUCUAGAAUAGGACACGUAGUUUAAGCAUCCAUAAAUGUUUAUCGCUUUAAUUUUAUUGUUGUGUGGAGCAUCAUUUAAAUAAAUCUUAAGGGCAAAACCACUCAUAAGAUAAGGGAAGGGAUUUCAUCACUCUUUCCUUGGCCCACAACAAUUUAAUUCUUCAUUUUGCAUUCCCUAGCCUUUUAAUAAAAUUGAAUUAGACGUUAGCCCCUAGGAUUUCGCGCUCAAUUAGGAAGGUACCUAAAAUACGAGGUAAUCUUUAAUUAUUCCGACUCUUCGGUGUCUAAGGCAAGCGAAAGCUUACCUGGCCGAUUAAGGUUUGGUGUCUAAGCGCGGAGAUUGGCCUCUUGGCAAUGCCUGCUAAAUGCCUGCUCCAAACUGGCCANNNNNNNNNNNNNNNNNNNNNNNNNNNNNNNNNNNNNNNNNNNNNNNNUUUUUUGCACUUAUUUGCUGCUCCAAACUGGCCAAACCGGUCCGAAUAAUAAUUGAUUUAUCGAGUUUUUGGUGGUCCUUACGGUUAGGAGCAAGGUCUAGUCGUUUUAUUAGGCAACCAUAGAACUAGGUUUUUCUUUCGCUUUUACACCCUUUCUUUUGUGUGUUUUAAUUUUUUUUUUUGCACUUAUUUGCUACAUGUUUAUCGUUUAUGCGAACUACUUGGGUUAGGAACGAAUCAUCUAGAUUAGUUAAAUCGAUAAUCGAGAUUCCUUUGUCAUCCUCUUCGGACUCCGAACCCAUAGAAGCUAGCAAUUCGAUAUUAAACAUGGCCGUGUCUCUUAAAGACCGUUGUUACCCGUCCCGUUCCGCUCAACCUUCGUGUAUCACCCUUCCUCCCGUUAAUGGGAAUAAUUUUGAAAUCAAGGCACAUCACAUUAGUAUGUGUGCCUAAGUUUUUAGGGAGUGAAGGUGAGGAUCCCUACCUUUUUAUCCAAGAAUUUGAGGAGGUUUGUGGUUGACAAAAACUCCAACAAUUGAGUGAAGACUCCAUUAGGCUUAGACUAAUCAACUUCGCUUUAAAAGAAAAUGCUAAAAAAUGGUUGUAUAGUCUUCCCGUUAAUUCUAUUUCCACUUGGGAGGGGUUUGUGGUAGUGUUUCUUAAAAAGUAUUUUCCAAACCAUAAGACAACUCGAAUUACAAACGAAAUAAAUCAAUUUCGACAAAAGGAAAAUGAGUCUUUUUGGAAAUUCUUUGAUCGUUUCAAAAAUCUUCUAUCACAAUGCCCCCACCAUGGAAUUGAAAAAUGGAGACUUUGCAAAAUUGUUUACGAGGCCUUAGAUAGUCAAACAACCGCUUUGUUAGAGUCUAUGUGCUCUCUGUUAUAUAUUCUAUAGGCUAUAACAAAUGAUAUUGUGGCCAACUCUUUUUAAUGCAGAAUUGGAAGAAGCUUUUCCUUGUUCAUUUGUGUGAGAUAUAGUUUUUUGCAAUGCUGAAAAUUUGAAACUUCUUGGAGUUUCACUACUUGAACUCUAUGAUAAUAUUCAGGUAUCCUGAAUUUGAAAUUGUUUGUUCAAAGGCAGAGUAGUAUUGAAUUCUGUUAUAUAGCCUUAUUCCUAAAUACAGAAGGAUCAAACAUAUUCUUUGGUUUUGUGCAGGCAAAUAAUUUUUGUUCAGUGCCAUAUCGAACUUUUCGCUCUAUCUAAUUAUAUUUUUAUUAUAUUAAAGUUUUUGAAUGAAAUUAUGUCACAUUAAAGCUUUAGUCCUUGAUUUUUAUUGUCCUCCAUAAUUAUUUCCUUAUGAUUAUUUCUUAUUUUUGUCCAAUCUUUUUGCUUGCAGAGAUACCGGCUAGCUAUAUCCGUCAUUCUUCUUCAAUCGUCUAGAUAUGGGUUUUACCACGUCACAGGCAUAGAGGACUUUAGGAGCUCAUACACAUGUAGUUCAUUAGGUAUCUGACUUCAAUCGUACUUUAGAAGAUAAAUACCGAGAUACUUUUGAAUCCUACUUCAGUUGGCUAUUCGAUAGUAUUUAGUUCUUGGAUGCUUGGAUUAUGUAUUAAGAUGAUUCUAAGAUAUUUUGAAUCAUUUUUAUGUAUAUUGGGAGGCUUCACAUCUUUUAAUGGAAAAUAACUUUUUAAAAUAUCAUGUUUUGUCUUUUUUAUUAAAAGUGUUGGUAAUUUGUUAGCAAAAUGUAGCCAUAUGACUCCAAACUGUUAAGCCGUAUGUGUUGGCAAAAGAAUAAAAGAGCGUAGCCAAAAAUAUAUAUAAGUCUACAGUAACAUUUUUCUUGGUGUAACUAUAAAGAAAACAGUGUUGGCAUAAGUCUAUAGUAACGUAUAAAUCAGUAUAGUCAUAGAGCCCAAGGUGUUGGCAAAAGGGGUCUAUAAUCACACUUUUAGUGGUGUUGUCAUAAACAUCAAAAAGUGUUGCCUCAGACCCCUAUGGUAGCGGCGAUUUUUGUAACACCCCCAAAUUUGGCCAAAGUGUAGCCAUAGCACUUUUUUUUGCUUUCAGUAACAGUUUUUUGACUUUUGAACACAUUUUUUUUGGUGUUACUGAAGGUCAUAUAUGGUGUAGUGGAAUUUUUCGAGGAUUUAGCUGAAAAGACUAUGUUGUGGGAGUCAACUAGGGAACCUAAAAAGUCGAUCGAGUCGUCUAGCUCUAGCUCUAGCUCUAGGGGUUUGCACUCGAUAGGAAACAAUGUGGCAACCGAUGCCAAAUUAGCAACCCUUACUAAGAGACUCGAAGCUUUGGAGUCUCAUAGUGGCCCUUCACUUUUGCCUAUGUUCCCGAACUAUAAUGCUUCCCAUCCCGAGAUCCAACAAUCUCACGAUUUUGAGCAAGUGAACGCGAAUUAAAAACCCCGGAACCCAACCUCCGCAAGAACCUGAACAAGUAAAUGCGAUGUUCCAAAAUUCUAGGAAUGAUGCGUUUGCACCCACUUAUAAUCCCGGGUGGAGAAAUCUCCCAAAUUUCUCAUGGACCCAAGGUCAAAAUUGUCAAGUUCCUCAACCCAAUUUUCAAAUGAAUCAAGGGCCAAAUUCUUUUCCAACUCCUCAAAAAAAUUUUCAACAAAGGCCCAACCCAAACUCUUACCCAAAUCAAGGUCCAAAUUCAUGUCAUAACCCAAUUCAAACUCCUUUGAAUCCUCCUCGUUUCAAUGAUUCGGAUAAACGGCUCAAUUCUUUAGAAAAGAGUUUGGAAGCCUUAGUUAAAUUGCAAACUAAUUUGACUCAAUCACAACAAACCUUCAUGACAACCCUAACCCAAGAUAGGCAAAUUUUGCAUUCUAAUGUGCAAGCCGUGUCUAAGUUAGAGGCCCAAUUGAGUCAAUUAGCUAGCGCGUUGUGUGAGCGAGAGAAGAACAAGUUGCCAAGUCAACCCGAGGUCAAUCCUAAGUUUCCUCUCAAUCAAAGACCUCCCGAGAAUGUUAAUGCCAUUAUUUCUCUAAGGUCGGGAAACCAAGUGGAUAACAAAGUUGGUGAGAACAUUAAUGAAAAUGAGAAAUCGAGUCCUAAAUCAAAUCCUUCUUUUUCUAGCACUAAUCAUGAUAAGCCCGAAUGUUCUCGAAUCCGUGAGUCCAUGAGUGAUUCGAUUCCUAACCCAAACCCUUCUUUGUCUAGCACUAAUCAUGACAAACCCGAAUGUUCUAGAGUCCGUGAGUCUAUGAGUGAACCUGGUUCCAGGCCCAUUUCUCAAAAGCCCAACGAAGAAGUUUAUAAGCCAAAGGUUCCUUACCCACAAAGACUCAUUCGUCCUAAACAAUCGGCCCAAAUGGAACAAAUUCUAGAGGUUUUCAAACAAGUCAAGAUAAACAUUCCUCUUUUAGAUGCCAUUCAACAAGUUCCUUCCUAUGCCAAGUGUCUAAAAGAUUUGUGUACCCAUAAGAGAACCACUAAUGUUCCAAAGAAAGCCUUUUUGACCUCUCAAGUUAGCUCGAUUCUCUCGAAUCAAUUUCCCGUGAAAUAUAAGGACCCCGGUUGUCCUACAAUUUCUUGUGUCAUAGGCAAUACUUUUGUGGAUAAAGCUUUACUUGAUUCAGGAGCGAGUUUGAAUCUUCUUCCUUUCUCGGUCUACCAAUCCCUAGGUUUAGGGGAUCUCAAGACCACCAAUAUGACCCUUCAACUUGCCGAUCGUUCCAUUAAAAUGCCAAAGGGGAUUAUUGAGGAUGUGUUGAUAAAAAUCGGUGAUUUUAUCUUUCCCGUUGACUUUGUUGUUCUCGAGACUCAACCCGUCUCGAAUCCUAAGAACCAAAUUCCUAUCAUUUUAGGACGACCUUUUCUUGCUACAUCCAAUGCCUUAAUCAAUUGUAGGAACGGUUCAAUGAAGCUCAUAUUCGGAAACAUGACCAUUGACUUAAACAUUUUCAAUGUAGGAAAAGAACCCAAUGAGCUUUAUGAACAACCGAUAGGGGUUAAUGUGGUCAACAAGUUUGUCACGUGGUCUAUCGAGGAUAGUGAAAUUGAGUCACUUCUUAAUGACGAUUUCAAAGUCAACAAUGAGAAUAAUAGAGAAUAUCACGAGUCUUUGAGAGAGUUGACCUCGGAGGAGAUGUUAGGAGAAUUGAACGACAUUUGUUCAAAAUGGGAAACUCCACCCGAGAUGGUUAGUGUUGACCCUAGGCCCGAUUUUGAGAGUCAUGGAGGUGAACCACCGACAUUUGACUCAUUGUUCCAUCAUUCACAUAGCGCCUUAGGAAAGGAUGACAUCAUUUCUUACAUCGUUCCUAGUGAUUUAUCCUAUGACCAAAAUUGCAUAGUCUCUAAUUUGCUUGAUAAUAAAGAAGCAUUCAGUUGGUUUGGGAAAAACAUUAGUGAUGCUUCUCAUAUAUGGGUAAACGAUGGUCACAUGCUCGAGAAAGCCUUUGUGCCUAAAAAUUUUCGUACACUUUUUGACUCUUUCUCGAAGCUUCCUCCCAUUUUUCCUUCCGGAAUUGGCUGAAGUGGUUCCUUCAGGUAUGGGGAAGGAAAUGUGUGAGUGUGUGUGGGUUGUUUUAGUGUUUCGUUCGUUAAUAAAAAUCCCCUUCAUCUCCUAUUCAGGUAUUUUUCCUCUUUACUCUCUCAUUUCAGUUCUCUCUUUUGCAUACAUUGAGGACAAUGCAUAAUUUAGGUAUAAGGAGGGCUUUAGUGUAAUUCUUAAAAAAUGAAAAACCCUAAAAAAUGAAAAAUUAGAAAAAUCCAAAAAUAGAGAUCUUUUAGCUAAGUUGUCAUUCCCUCACUCAAACUUUAGAAGUAGUUGGUGUUUAGCAUGUUUUCAAAAAGUAUAUAUAUGUAGUGUCUUUUAGAUAAUUUGAACGUAGUUGAGUAAGGUUAUCUUUUUGAAACUUGUAUCGACCGAUUUGUACUCGUAAUUCCAAGAUGGCACACACAUUUGCACAAGACCUUUGAUGGAGAGAUUGUCUAGUGAUAUUAUUCGAUACCUGAGAGAGAACCCACAUGUUGAAACAAUGUCGAAUCGAACCUUUGCGAAUAAAAAAAUAGAAAAGAAAAAAAAGAAGAGAGAUAAAAAAAAAGGAAUAACUACUUCAAUACCCAUUGUUCUUUAUAGACUAAAAUCUUUAGAUAAAGUGGACAAAAGUAGAUUGGCUAGUCUCGUUUUGUGGCCUUUGUUAUUCGAGUGAUUAAGUCCGUCGGGGGAUUUCAAAACCUAGUGCCCUAAGACCGUUUGGUUUGGGAGUCACUGACCUAAAGCUCGCUACAUGGGUAACAUUGUUUGCCUAAGAAAACGGACAAAAUAAAGUCAAUGCAAAAAAAAAAAAGAAAAAAGGAAAAAAAGAAAGAAAGGAAAAGAAAUAAGAAGUUUGUGAAGUUUGGCUAGAUAUUUGUUUCGUAUAGAGAUUGGGCCGAGUUCAAAAUUAGGUUGAAAAAUAAAUCCAAACUCCACAAUACAAAUUCCACAUAAUUUCACUAUAACUUACUAAAAUUCUGCAAAUACUAAAAUUCUACCAAAAAAUACUAAAGUUCUAUCGAUACUAAAAUAUUAUCACAAUACUAAAAUUCCACAGACCAAAUUUUAUGAAGUAAUGUCGUCAUGGUGAUCACCUACGGCUGAAGCAUUCGGCACUGCAGCAGUUAGCUCUACAAUAUCGAGCUUCAAUUCUGGAAUUUUUUCUGCCAGUUUGGACAUCAACAACUUGACAUUAUCUCGAACCUUCUUGUCCACUUUUUCUUCCAUCUUUUGCGCAAUUUGAUCCUGAAUCUUUUCAGUCAAAAUAGUCACCAUUUCGAAAGUAACCCGGAAUUCGGAUAAUUUAUCUUCUCAUUAUUUUUCCUUCAAGAAAAAUAUAUAUGUUAGCCCCAUUUCUUCAACGACCAACUGUGAAGUAUUUUAUACAUUAGGAAAAAUUAAAAGGUAUAUCUUAUAGAAACUCUAAUCUGAAAUUGAAGAGAUAUUGAUUCACCUGGUCGUUAUUAAUGAUGUAGUGGUCGCCUAUGUCAAACGGGUGCAUCACAAUAGCUUGCAUGAUUCCUUCACAAAUGAUAUUCCGAUAAUCGUCAGACAUAUAUGCUAGUACUAAUAGAUGAGACGACGAAUUGUACCUUAAAUAUUGGAUGUUCUGUUGCCCAUCAAAAGGCACCAGACAAGAGCAACCAGGAAGGAUAGGUUCACCAAGAUAAUUUUCUUCAAAUGAUGUAUGACAUGCUAAUAUUAUUUAAGAGAAAAACCAUGAGUUUUCGCUACCUGUAAAACAGGCAUAUUAUGCUCUUAAGAUUAAAAACUCUAAUCAAAUUCCACUUUGUGUAUAGCGUGCAAUUCAUGGAUAUGGUGAGGAUACUGGUAUUGAUACAUGGGCGAUACAUAUCAAUCUGAAAAUAUGAAACAGAUUAAGAAUAAAUCAUUAUAUUACCAUCCAUUUCCUUAAAGAUAUAUACUUCACUAAUAUUUUUUCUUUCUGUGGCUCCUUCAAACAAUCGAAGAACCUUUAGUAUGUCUUCUUCCUUCAUGAUCAAGAGAAGAUAAGUCUCUUGUAUAUCCCUAUUUAACAAUAAAUUAAGUAAAAUUUCAAGUUAAUUAUUAGAAAAAAACAGAGAAAGGUUUGCUUGUGUGAAAAUGAAGAUAUUAGUAAUUACCUAAGCUCUUUGUUCAUUAAAUUCUUGUAGACCUUAAAAAUAAGAUAUUUAGUCUGUUGCUUAUCGUCAAAAUUACCAUUGUCAAGUGCACUAGAAAUGGUGUGUAACCUUGUGCUGAAAAGAAACAUAUCAGCAAAUAUACUCUCAGAGUACAGUUUUAUACGUACAUGAUGAUAGGGGGGAGCAUUAGAGCAUGAUAUCUUUUUUAGCAUAUUUAUACACAAUAAACACAUCAACUUUAGCAUAUAAACUAUUAACCCCAUUCCUAUGUCAAGUAAAAUUAUAGAAGACACUUAAACUGAGACCUCUUUUUUCUUCAUUUCUCCCAGGCAAGUCUCGAGUCGCCUAUGAUAAUUUGUAUAACCACAGAUCAGAGUAGAACCUCUUUUCGCCAUUCCAUGUUCCUCUGCAGCCUAGAAAGAACAAAUGGAAAAUAUCAGUGUGCAAUGUCAAAUAUAUUAGACAUUCGAUCAGAUAAUAAUUGUAAAAUUAGAAACUGUUAAGCAUACCUUUGCAGACGCCUUUCCUAGUGAAGGAUGUAAAUUCAAACCCAUGUAAUCAUUUCUGGAGAAUAUAAGUAGCUUUCUGAACUUUUGAAGGGUUGCGUCCACUUCUCUAUCAGCCCCUGUACCACGUGAUACGUGAUCAUCUCCUAUCAAAUACAGGCCCACAUAUAACAAACAUAUACGCAAAACCACGCUCUAGGAAACUAGACAGAUUCACCUAAACAGACUACAACCACAAGAAACACACACACAAAUAUUCAAAGCAUAUGUUAUAUAUGAAAAAUAUUUAAAGCAUCUGUUAUAAAAAAAAAAAUUCAAAAUAAUUAUAGGAUUGUUUUACAAUUCAUUCAAGGAACAUCAACAUCAAAGUUCUGCAAUAAGAGCAACCUUGUGAAACAAUUAUUUGCAAUUGAAACAGGAACGGAAUCAAGCUAUUAAGUGUCUUGGACAUGUGCCAAAUGAACUAAAGGAAAAUGAUUUGCUUGUAUCCACACUAACAAACUAACUCAUAACGCAGUUCUAAAUAAUCAUAAGAUGAGUUAAUUAGUUAGCAACCCUAGCCCUUCUUCAUCGAUUUCUAGCAUAUAAUCUAACAUUUAAAUUCCCGCAAAAAUAUACAUCGAGAAAAGUUACUCACUGUUUGAAUUAACAGCACCAUUAGCAACACACGAACACAUGAUGCAUUUGUACCGAAAAUCUUGAAUAAAACCUACUCACAGGCACUUAAUCAAACAGAUGGUGUGCAAACACGUAUAAGUGGUACCAUGAACAUCGAAUGAUCUAACACUAUUUAUAUUAGAACCCCCAAAUUACGAAUUUACAAUUAGGGUUUUAAAACCCCCAAAUUAACAAAAUUAAUUUAGAGAAAUACCUUAUAAUGUUAUAGUCGGACCAAAUUCAAGCUACGAGAAGAAAGUUACUGAGCUCCGAGACAAGAACUAAAACAGCGAGAUAUGCUUCCUGUAUAUAAUCGUCGGACCCUUUCCUUGUAUAAGCAGCGAGAUAAGCUCCGAGACAAGCUUCGAGAGAUGAAAGAGUGAGAUGAGAGAGAUGAAAGGAAUGAAAGAAUGAGAUGGGAGAGAUGAAUGAGAGAUGUGAAAUGCGAGAGAUGCGAGAUAGAUAGUGAGAGAUGCGAGAGAGAGCGAGAGUGAGCCGAGAGAAAGAAUUGGUUUUAGUUUUAAUUUUAUUGUUAUGUUUUAUUUGUGUGAGUGAUGGGAUGGGCGGUUGCUUAAUUUAUUUUUAAUAAAUUCAGAGUUGAAAAGGCGGGUUGUUUCCCUCCUGUUAAUUUUAACACAUCUUUAAGGUAACAUCGCACAAAAUGUUGGCAUUGAGGGUUUGUUUUAGUUAUGACAACAUUUAUCUUAUUAAUGGCAACACCGAAAAUGCGAUGUUGGCAUACACCUGCUUCAAUCAAAUUUUAAGCAUCUAAGGCAACAUUUUAGGUGGCAACAUCAGUUUGUAAUGUUAGGAUAGACCAAAUAUGGUGUAGUGCGCCUAGUGAUAUUAUUCGAUACCUGAGAGAGAACCCACAUGUUGAAACAAUGUCGAAUCGAACCUUUGCGAAUAAAAAAAAAAAGAGAAAUAGAAAAAGAAAAAGGAAUAAGCUACUUCAAUACCCAUUGUUCUUUAUAAAUAAAAUCUUUAGAUAAAUGGGCAAAAGUAGAUUGGCUAGUCUCGUUUUGUGGCCUUUGUUACUCGAGCAAUUAAGUCCGUAGGGGGAUUUCAAAACCUAGUGCCCUAAGACCGUUUGGUUUGGGAGUCACUGACCCAAAGCUCGCUACAUGGGUAACACUGUUUGCCUAAGAAAACGGACAAAAUAAAGUCAAUGCAAAAAAAAAAAAAAAAAAAAAAGAAACAAAAAAAAAAGAAAAAAAAGGAAGAAUAAGAGUUUGUGAAGUUUGGCUAGAUAUUUGUUUCGAUAGAGAUUGGGUCAGUUCAAAAUUGGUUGAAAAAGAGAAAAUAUUCUUAGACGAUUAGGAUCCAUCAAAGGCCUUAAAAUUCAUUACACUCCUUGGAUUUCUAGUAAAUUUUUGUGUCGAGUCAAGUAGAUUAGAGGCAAUUGUAUCUUGAUUAUUAGUAAAAGAGUCUUCGAGUCGUAUUUUCCUUAAAAACAAUUUUUGUUAACACCAGCGAAAUUAGAGUAGAGUCGAGUAGACACUUGCUAGAAUGUCUCACAGAUUUUAUGGGUAUAUCUUCUGUAAACCCUUAGGAGACAAAACUCCUUUUGUAGAGAUCGUCUACGAGUUUAACGGGUUGGUGAACCUAAAAUCACCCGUCACGCCUACGAAAAGGAGCCUAGGAAUCGCAUCUAGUUUUCUUAGUUUAUUUUCUUUUCUUUUGAUUUUCACUCGAGGACGAGCAAAAUUUAGGUAUGGGGACGUUUGAUAGGUCCAUUAUUUUGCAUAUUUUAACUACCUAUUUAUUGCUUGUUUUCAUAUUUUAUUAGUUAAUUGUUUUGUUUUCAGGAAUUUUUAGGGAAAUCGAGAAUUCAAGAGAAAAAGGAACAAAAAGGUGCAAGAAGGGAAAAAGAGGAAGAAAAAGAAAAUAAAAAGAAGAAGAAGAAAAAAAAAGGAAAAGAAAAUCAAAACACAAA
rnacentral:lncRNA from 1 species